AGAGUUUGAUCCUGGCUCAGGACGAACGCUGGCGGCGUGCCUAAUACAUGCAAGUAGAACGCUGAAGAGAGGAGCUUGCUCUUCUUGGAUGAGUUGCGAACGGGUGAGUAACGCGUAGGUAACCUGCCUUGUAGCGGGGGAUAACUAUUGGAAACGAUAGCUAAUACCGCAUAACAAUGGAUGACACAUGUCAUUUAUUUGAAAGGGGCAAUUGCUCCACUACAAGAUGGACCUGCGUUGUAUUAGCUAGUAGGUGAGGUAACGGCUCACCUAGGCGACGAUACAUAGCCGACCUGAGAGGGUGAUCGGCCACACUGGGACUGAGACACGGCCCAGACUCCUACGGGAGGCAGCAGUAGGGAAUCUUCGGCAAUGGGGGCAACCCUGACCGAGCAACGCCGCGUGAGUGAAGAAGGUUUUCGGAUCGUAAAGCUCUGUUGUAAGCCAAGAACGAGUGUGAGAGUGGAAAGUUCACACUGUGACGGUAGCUUACCAGAAAGGGACGGCUAACUACGUGCCAGCAGCCGCGGUAAUACGUAGGUCCCGAGCGUUGUCCGGAUUUAUUGGGCGUAAAGCGAGCGCAGGCGGUUUGAUAAGUCUGAAGUUAAAGGCUGUGGCUCAACCAUAGUUCGCUUUGGAAACUGUCAAACUUGAGUGCAGAAGGGGAGAGUGGAAUUCCAUGUGUAGCGGUGAAAUGCGUAGAUAUAUGGAGGAACACCGGUGGCGAAAGCGGCUCUCUGGUCUGUAACUGACGCUGAGGCUCGAAAGCGUGGGGAGCGAACAGGAUUAGAUACCCUGGUAGUCCACGCCGUAAACGAUGAGUGCUAGGUGUUGGAUCCUUUCCGGGAUUCAGUGCCGCAGCUAACGCAUUAAGCACUCCGCCUGGGGAGUACGACCGCAAGGUUGAAACUCAAAGGAAUUGACGGGGGCCCGCACAAGCGGUGGAGCAUGCGGUUUAAUUCGAAGCAACGCGAAGAACCUUACCAGGUCUUGACAUCCCGAUGCUAUUUCUAGAGAUAGAAAGUUACUUCGGUACAUCGGUGACAGGUGGUGCAUGGUUGUCGUCAGCUCGUGUCGUGAGAUGUUGGGUUAAGUCCCGCAACGAGCGCAACCCCUAUUGUUAGUUGCCAUCAUUCAGUUGGGCACUCUAGCGAGACUGCCGGUAAUAAACCGGAGGAAGGUGGGGAUGACGUCAAAUCAUCAUGCCCCUUAUGACCUGGGCUACACACGUGCUACAAUGGUUGGUACAACGAGUUGCGAGUCGGUGACGGCAAGCUAAUCUCUUAAAGCCAAUCUCAGUUCGGAUUGUAGGCUGCAACUCGCCUACAUGAAGUCGGAAUCGCUAGUAAUCGCGGAUCAGCACGCCGCGGUGAAUACGUUCCCGGGCCUUGCACACACCGCCCGUCA
rnacentral:rRNA from 1 species